CCGAUGCGGAUCAGUGGACUCCUACCAUACCAACCUACAUUCACUGAUUGUUGCUGGCAGUUUAUAUGUUACUUUUAGGAUUUGUUUUAUAGGUACUUAGUGCAUUUUGCACCUAUGAAGUGCUUGACACUGACACACUCAUAAACAAUCUUGGGAUUUUAAUUUAGAUCUUUAGGUCUAUCUUUCACUCGUAUAAAAAAACCAACAAAAGUGUAGCCUUAGACUAAUAACCUAUAGACCCACAACACCCAACAAUUUUUCACUCCAAAAGUAAGCCACUUUUAUGACUAUGUGAGCGUACUUAUCGUGCGUCAAUGGCUCCCAUUUCGGGGCACAUAGAACGACUUACAAAUCCUGCGACUACACACUAUUUCUUAUAAAUAUGUGUGUGUAGCACUGUUUGUUUACUCGUGUAAACUCGCCCUAAUUGUAUUGUACCACAUCUUUUAUUGACAGCCCCAAUGCCUUGUGUAUUUUAAAAUGCCAUUCGCGAAAUAUCAAACUCUACGUUAUUAUCACGACAUUGUGACAGCGUUUGGCAUUUUCAUCAAGGAAUCCGUAAGCAAUUUUCGAACAAGUAAAAUAUGGUCCAUAAAUCUCAAUACAAAAGAUGAACGCAUAAAAUUUCAUGACUGAAACAAACUGUAAAAGCUGAGAUAAGAAACAAUGCUGCUGUAUCCUUUGUAAACUAUUUAUUUACAAAAUUUAUUAAUAUUAUUUACAAGUUGAAUAACUAAUCUAGCGAUUUAAAUUUCGUUAAUGAAUAGUGUCCCAAAUGCGUUGGUCGCAGUCAAAAUAUAAUUAAUUGUAAAGAUUACUGUAAUGAGAAUAAUAAUUAUUAUUUUUAGUAACAUGUUAUAUUAAUAUGUUAUACUUUUUUUUAAAUAAGAAUUAAUAUUAUUAAUUAGCUUUAUUAUUUAGAAAUCUGUGUUUAGAUUAUAAUAGAUGUUUUAUUUUAUUUUAACAUGGCAACAUUGUACAACAGAAAUUUUAACCGCGUCUAGCAUGCAUGAUAUCUUUUACAUGCGACUUUGUCCUUUUAUUUUCACUGCGUUGUGUAUAUUUGGUAGCUAAUUUUAAUUUCCUCUGAGUGAUAUUUUGUUUGUGAAUAGUCUAUCUAGAAGAUGUGCUAUAAAUCCAUCCCCUUAAUAAAUAAUAAUUAUAUUAUAAAUGCAUAAUUAAAUUAUAUUCAAAAUAAUGCCGGAAACAUAUUCGCGCCACGAUACUUGACGCCAUGUCACGCCACGAGCUUGACUUUAGACCAACAAUAUGGCAUGCGAUCAGCUAGUAACGUAACGUGUCACGUGAUGUAGUCGGAUGCAUUCUUUUUAACUAUAUAAGUAGCUCGCGGGGUGAUGCCUCGCCGCCGCGCCCUUGCGCAACCGGUGUUACCUAAAAUAUUGUAUUGCGCAGCUUAACGCACGAUGUUCCGAAAAGUUAUAAAGAUUGUAUCUGACUAUGCCUAUCUACGAUGGACAUAUCUGGAGAUCUCGCUGUCGCUUUCGCUUUCGUUGCGUUGGGACAAAAAGCAAUAUUUCACCGCUAUUGGUCGACCAUUUUUUUUAAAAGAUAUUUCGUUGACGCGUGUAUGCUACUGAUUCUUGUGUUUUGUGUCAACGCGCGUGGCGUGGCGUGGUGUCGUGCUGUGAAUAUGUCCGUGCCAUUAAAUAUUGAGAGGAAUGAAUGUUACAGGGUAGGUUAUGCAAUCUAGAAUGAGCCCAACGAAAUCUAGUGUAGCCAUAUAAACUAUAAUCUUACUUUUGAAUACUGAACAUUGUUUUUUAAUACUCAUGAGAACGUGAUGAAGAUGAGCAGGUUUUACAGACAAAGUGUUCUUUCGCGCCAUUGCGCCAGAAAAUGCCACCAAAACUAUUUGAGCAUUGCCCUUUUAGCACCAAUUCACGAGGCCUGCCAAUCUCAGACCAAUUAUUGUAUAGGACCUGCCCUCGCUAGACGUUACUUUUCUGUCAAACUAUAUGAUCAACGAUCUAAUGCGAUUAUAAAAACUGUCUCUAUAGAAUCGAUGUUAAAUAGUUGUAAUCGUGUUCGUCGGUUAAAGAGCUCCGUAAAAAUACCUUUUUGUGUAAUUGAAUUGUGUAAAAAACUUCUAGUUUAGUUUAGUUUAUGAUGAUAUAAUCUAAGCUCGUUUUCUUCAGAAAAUGACAAACAAUUUUGUUCCUGACUGUCCUGAAUUUUGGUCCUUCUAUAAUUGGUCUGAGCUGCCAAUAGAUAAAAAUACAAAAUACCUAUGUUUAAACCUAUAGGAUCUCUAGGAAUUCGAUUGUAAAACGUGGUUUAGCUCAAACUACCUACGAGACUGCUCUUUAUUAUUCCAUUAAUCAUUUAAACUGUACAUGUUAAUAUAUUAUUAACGCGAGUUUUCAUCAACGCAUGUUGAGAGGCGAAUGUGCUAAGUUUUGCAAAGUAAGGCAUAUAAUAAAAGAUUGUAAACAGGCUUCCAAAAUUUUGUACAGGAAUUUCAGCGGCGCUCAAAGCUGCAGCUGCUGUGAAAAGCCUAAAUAUCUUAUGCGAAUAUCACGUGAAUAUUUUAAAGGCGGGCGCAUACUCGACAAUCUGCAAGUUGCAUCUCGUGGCACUGUCGAGAUAUAUAAAUUUGAAUAUAGGUACCUAAACGAAUAUAUGGACGUGGUUUCGAAACUUAGAAGUACAUUAUCCGCCUCAUCAGUAAGCUAUGCUGCAAGCUAAUCUUUAUUAACAAGUGCGAAAAAUGGCAUCUUUUGGAUCGACACAAUUCCCAAUCUUUGAAUUAUGGUCUCUCGCUCUUUCUUUUAUAAGGAAAGUUCAUGUCUUACGCCCACCAACUGGUGACGUAUAAGAGUCCUACAAUCAUAGACAAUGCAAUCGAAGGCAUAGCAGACCAAGGUCGACUCGAAAGCGGUCUAUGAAGUAAUAGUCAGUCACCAUCCGUGUAGAGUAGUGUUUCGUCCGUCAAUUCUAGUGGUUCACAUUGCCAUUAUUCUGACUAAUAUGAAACACUUGACAUAAAAGGUACUAAAUUAGAAGAAGAGAAAGAAGGAGAAAAAAUUUACUUCGUAUUUCGUGAUAAAGAAUAUGCGUAGGUAUUCGUAAUUUGGUUGUUUAAUUUUUGUCAUAUCAUGAUGAUUGUUUGAUUGACUAAAUAUAAGGUAUUUUUAUUUAUUUUACUAGCUGAAACCGUAAAUUUUGUUCUACCUUAAAUACUUAUAUAUUAGCUACUAAUUUUAGCAAUACUAUGCUAGCCAUUUGCUAUGCGAUAAGCCCACAUGCCUGUAACGCUAACGGCUUGACAUCCGAUAAAACUGAUCGUCUAUUGGUCGCGAUAUGCAUGACAGCAGAUCGAGGCCAACACACGAUCAGUUUACUGCAGACAUGUGAGUUUAUUGGAUGGUGGGUAGCUAGCAUUAGAUAAUAUCAUCAUCUAACAUCAUGUUAACAGUGUUUUCUCUGUCCCUGACGUAUCACCAGUGGUGCCCUGACGCCGAUAUAUGUAGACUGACCUUUACGAAACGGACAUUCGACAUCGAAACAUCACCUGAUGACAAGUUAAGUAGGUACUCGAGUCGUAAAAUACGCGACAUCUAAUACAUUAAACAUUUUUAUGACUACGGACGCUUUUUUCGUAAUUGCAACUUUUGUGACUGUGACCUUAACUCCUGUAGUGCAAAGUUUUUUUAACGUGGUUGUGUAUUUAUUACCUUUACAGUAUUAUGUUUUAAAAUAUAUCCUACAAAAUUCCGUUAGGAUAUGAUUGACAGAUAAUUUAAUUUAUCUAGUGUAAAAUCCUCCAGUCCUGAAUCACAACUACAGUUGUAGGUACGAGUAUUAACACCAUAAAUUUCCUAAUUCUAAGACAUUCCUGAGAAUUCUUGAAAAGACAAUCCCAAUAUUUAUUUUUGUAUAUCCCAAUAAUUCAUUGCUAAGCUGAUCCGGGACUUGAUGACGAUGUAGCAAUGUACCUAUUUUCAAGCGCUUUAGUGAAAUGAGAACGAUGGCUGCUGAUUGGUAGCUUACUGAUGACUUGUUAUGGCAUUGGGUGUUAAAAUACGUAAACAAGUAGAUCUAGAACUUGAACCCCUUUUAAUCAAUAGGAGCAGAAGCUAGACAACUGAGCCAAUGAUGUAGUGAAUCUAUAAUAGUAGAAGCUGAAGUUAAGUGAGUGAUCCUUGCUCAGUAAAGACUUCCACAAUACAACCUCGUUAUCGAAUUCAUAUCUACCUCUGUGUUACUCGGCUUGCACAUAAAUCGUAAUAAUAUUUUAGAACUUUCGAAAACUUCGAGCAAUGUUGUUGAAACAAAAUUGCAGUCCUCUAAAAUGAUAACAACCGGAACCGGUAAGGAUGUGAAACUUUAUCGGGGUUGUUAUAAAUUUCCAUUGAAUAACGUAACAAUGAAGUUUUAAAAUGGGUUUUGGGUUUGGCAAUACCUACCUUAAGUUAUUUAAACCGAAAAUCUUAGUUACACCUUUAAUCUAAAGCGUUGAUGCGUUUUAACUUAAAUGUUUGGUAGUACGUCAGAUGUUUGGUAGUCUGAGAACUCUUUGCAACUUUGACUAUUGGCCAUUGGUGGUCUAAUCCUCAGACCAAUUAUUGUAUAGAACCUGCCUUGUUAAACGUUACUUUUCUGUCAAACUAUAUAAUGGGACUAUCAAGACUAUCUCUAUAGUUGUUAUCGAGUUCGUCGGUUAAGGAGCUCCGUAAAAAUACCUUUUUGUGUAGUUUAAUGGUGUUCAAAACGGGCAAAAUCUUCUAGUUUAGUUUAUAUUUAUUAUUAAAUCUAAGCUCGAUUCCCUCAGAAAAUGGCAGACAUUUUUAAACGUGAAUUUGGGUGCGAUACUGGUACUUCUAUAAUUAGUCUGAGGUCUAAUCCAUUCUACAAAGCAAAGGCUUCUUUUCACCUUUGUAAUGUAUGAGCUAUCAAUCUAAACUAGCAUUUCCAUACUUCAAUAUGAGAACUACCAUUAUAAUGUUCAGUAUUCAAAAUAUUAAUCCAUUCACGAUGUAAUAAAUAUUCCUGAUUAUAAAAUAAUUGUAAAUACAUAGUUAAUUUUAAUAUAUUAGGUAAGUAAGAUAUGAAAUUGUUGUUGCGGUAUUUUGUAUCGUUUAACACGAUUGUAGAUUACGAUUUAAAUAUGUUGUGAGCUUAAAACCGGUCAGAUUUACGCCGCUAAUAUAUUGCGUGACAAUUUAUAUUGUAUCUGUGCGAUAUAAUCGACGCAGUCUAACCAGCUUUCCUGUCAGGGCUGCGGUCUAUCGGACCCUGACUUCAGUCAUCGACAAUGAAAUUCAACAUCGCUAUGCUGCUGUUAUUAAACCCCGACGCAAAAAGAGGGGUGUUAUAAGUUGGACGUGUCUGUCUGUCAGUCUGUCUGUGGCAUCUAUCUCCCGAACGGAUGAAGGAAUUUCAAUUUAGUAUUUUUUGUAUUAAAGGUGACGAAUGUUCUUAGACAUGUUUAAUGAAAAUCGGUUUAAAAGUUGUGGGGGUUGAAAGUGGGGAAGAAUAAUUUUCAAAUUUAUGUUAUUAUUUAUUGAUUGACACAGUUUGGAUGACCGCCAAAAUAGCCCGGCAAAUUAAAAAAAAUCUACUAAUGUUUGCUAAAAAAAGCAUUUGUGUGAAAAAGUUACUACCUACAUAAAAAUAGCAAGUACCGAAGAGAUUCUACAAUUUUGGGAAUGCCGAAAACUGAUUUUUUUUAAUUUGCUGGUCUAUUUCAACUCAUUAGCCAAACUCUAAAGCAUUUGACAGCAAACAGGGCAGCUCUAAAGCAAAAUACUCCUAUUGCUGCCAGAAAAAGUUAAGUUAAAUAUAGUUAGUUAGUUCAUAAUGUGGCAGGCUGUCAAACAUGGCAAAGAAUAAUUGAUCUAUAACUGGGCAUGGUCCAGUGUAACUGAAGUAUAUUGCUGAAUACAGUUAAACUGUGAACUAUGCUGUCAAAAUAUGUAAUACGGUUCAUAUAUUGUCAAUUGUAUACAGCAAAUUUUCACGCCCCUGACUGAAUCUUGAAGCAUUGACCUUGUUGUGUCUACAUAUACCAUUAGGAAUACGAAAUAAAUAUAUCAUUUGAAAUACAACGUUAACGUAAAAUUAUGUCUAUGGUUUGGUCCAUUCCUCCGAGGUACUCAUUCAUGUCAGUGUGGCCAAUAUAUUGUAUACUUCGUGACGUCAGUUUAUCCCGUUUUAUGCUCACAAAAUAUGAGUUAAACUCACCAUAUUUGUACUUUCUAAUAUAUUUUGUAUGUAUCGUUGUGUUGAAAUGUUGUUUAUAUUACAAUUCCCUCAGUGAAUGGAACCAAAGAACAAAAUCGUGUGCUAUAUAAAUUGGAUAUUUCCUUUUUCAUUUGAACAAAUUGUUUAUAUAAUUUAUAGUAUGUAACUUGUCCGUUUAUGUCAAUACUAUGAUGAAUGUUCGCGUAGGAUACGCAAAAUGUUAAUUCAACUUAGUUAUUAUUUUCGUAAUAUAUUUUACGCUGUGGUUUUACAGUGACUGAGUAACGUCAGCCACUCAUGAUCAAGUAAUCUCACAUGUCUGCAGCGCUUACGGCUUGACAGCCGAUAAAACAGCGAUGUGCAUGACAUCAUACACACGUUCAGUUUUAUCGGACGUCAAGCCGUUAGCGCUGCAGGCAUGUAGUUCUCUUAAUUUAAGUUUUUACAAGUGCGCUAUUUCUAUACGUUCCUAUAAUAUUUACAAUCAAAGAAAUAAUACGCAAAUCAACUAAAAGUUAUCAAUUAUUAAGACUAAACAUUUUGCAUACAAUUUUUGCUUACUUAAUUAUUAGUCGCAGGCAGCAUUUUUUUUUAAAUGGCAUAUACCAUAUAUGGUAUAGUAUAUACUUUUUAAUUAUUCUUUUAUAACUUACGCAUGAUCUCUAGUUUAAGGUAACAUAAAACAUUAUGCGGAAACUUUGUAAGUAUUUUUCGUGCCUUUUUCUCGCUUAAAUUUCUCUCCGUACAACUAGGGUUACCAUUUGUAAAAUGGGAUAGUCACAAAAUAUGCAACUUAAAACAAUUUUAUUAUUUAACUAAUUUUAAAACAAGUUAUGGGAUCGUUCACACAUAAUGCUUAUUUUAUAGAGCCCAAACUAAAUGACAACUUUCAAUUUAUUAAAUGAGAAUAGUAUUUUACUUUCGUCACUACAUUUAUUAGUAUAUUUUACAUAAAUGUAAAAUAAAGGUCGCAAAUAUAAAAUUAAAAAUGUGAAGGUCCGCACCUCAAUCUGACGAGAGUUCACAACAAACUGCUAAACAUUUUAUAGAAUUAUAGAUAUAUGAUUAGAUUAAUCAGAUAUCAUUAUUAGAUAGCCACUUUUGAGAAUCUACCAUUUUCAUAAUGUCUAUAACGUUAAAAAGACAGCCAACUUUAUAAUUCCAUAUCUCAAAAUAAAACCGAACUUUUUUAAAUAGCUAUGGAUUUUUAAACAUUAAAAAGCAAACAUCUAUUAAAUCAAUAUAAUUGAAUAUAAAUAUUAAUGAUAAAAUCCGUGGAAAUGCGUUCUUGUGGCGUACCUAACAGCUAACUUAAAUAAGCCAAUUCAGCUAAGAUUACUUUCAAAAACGGAUUACGGUAUGAGUUCAAGUUUUAUCGUUCAACUUUUGACAAGCUAUAAACAUUAGGGCUCCUUCAAGUGAAAGACGUCGACGAUCCGAACUACCAACUUCGAGAUCUUCGGCCCAUAUCUUCCUUUAUCUCUAUUCGAUAUGGUUGUUUUAUUGUUUGGGUCCCAUAAACAUUGAGUGCCUAUUUCACUACUGUAUAAUCAGAGCGGUGUGAUUUUGAAACGCCAUUAUUCGUGUGACAUUUAGAAAGUUAUUAAAAUUUAUCUUCAUUGUUUAAUUUGUCAAUAAAUAUUUUUUUAUUUUGAUAAAAAAUUAAUUGAAGCUGAAAACUGAAGCUUCUUAAUACUGUAUGAUUUUAUUUUAAACUUUUUUUGUUAAUUACACCCGAUCUUGAGUUCGGUUUAUAUACUGUUAAAAGCUAGUGUUUGAGAUUUUAACUUCAAUAUUUUUAUUGUUGUGUUCUAAUAUCAUAUACUUUAUGUAUCUAUUAAUUUUUCAUAUAAAUUGUACAUAAGAUCGUCUGUGCAUAGCAAACGUAUAUAGCGAGUAUAUUUUUAUGAAUCGGAGAGUGUAUCUAGUGACUCUAUAGUUAUAAAAUGAACGCGACUAUUGUAUAUAUUAAAUGGAAACAGAUGUGCAACUUUCUUCGUGCUUAGGUGUUUUGUCUAUGGGUGUUGAUGCAAUAAGAAAAUCGGCAGCAGGUUUGGUUUUUUUUUUCAGUAUAUUUGCUCUAUUUUUCCUUAUGAAUAUGAACAAAAAUAUUUAUUCAUAACCAUACGUUUUGUGUACGUUUUAAUUCAUGGCGAAUCGGACAAAAUUAUGAACGUAACGAACCACGGUGGUAGACCGUUUUCCUUCCAAGUCUCCUUUUUUUUCUUUCUAGACAAAUGUGCCCCCUGAAAGUGUUCCGACAAGGUUCAUUUUCUGAAAGCGCCUGAAUUAGAGAAAUUACAUGAAAGCGCUGAUAAUCCUAUAAGAAAUAAAAAAAAAAAUUAGUUAUUGUUAACAUUCGAAUCAACAACCAUAGUGUAGCACCGAUUGAGAUGUUGCAUAUCGAUUGUUUCUCUGUUUAACAUAAAAAUUGUUAUUGAUAAAAAGAUUAGGGCUAUAUAAAUUAAGAGCGACGUAAUUAUUCUAAAAUGACAAUAGUAACGCCAGUAUUACAGAUUAGUUCGUUCGUGUAUUGUAGUUUGUACAUAUGAAUGUCGCAUGUCUAAAUUACUAUGUAUAUGUACUCUAUUUUAUGGAAACAUGUUAAAAAAAAGUUUUUUUUUUUUAAAUAAAGUCACCUAUACAUUUAAUCGAUGACCUCAAAGUCCUAACACGCUUGUGUUCUGUUUUCACACGCUUUAAUACAUUUUCUAUAAAGUCAGUCUAUAAGUCCACGUAUGAUAUAAAUGAAUGUGUUUUUUUUAAUAUACUGCAAUUAAAAAAUAAGUAGUAAUUUUAAAUGAUGAUUAUAUUUAUUAAAAAGGAAGAUAAUUAUGUUGUUUUGAUAUUUUAUAAGAAUUUUGACGAUUAUAAUGAAAUAAUUUUAUUGUUUUUGAACUGUUCCAGUUCCAUACUUGUGUAGAAAACCACAUAAUGCCAGCUCUCACUCACUACCCGAUAAGCCCACGUGCUUGCAGCGCUAACCGCAUAACGUCCGAUAAAACUGAUCGUGUGUUGGUCGCGAUUGGCAUGAUGUCAUGCAUGAUCAGUUUUAUCGGACGUCAUGCCGUUAGCGCUGCAAGCAUGUGGGCUUAUCGGAUAGUGAGGGGCUAGCAUAACUGAUUCCUCGCUACGUGGAACAGGGUUAUGGCGAAAGAGGGGAGCGACAGAGGAGCAGGCGGCAGGGGUAACGUAUUCUUCGUUCAUUUAUUGGCUGGCGCGCGUGUUGCCCCCCGCACCUCUGUCGCGUCCCUCUGUCGUCAUACCCCGCAAGAGAGGACUGCGUUAUAGAAUGUCGGUAUAAACUAUUAAUAUUAACUAGUAUGUUAAAAUAACCGAUUGUCAUUCCGCGAAGAAUAAUUUUGUUAUAUAGUCUGAGCAGAAAAAUAAAAUAAGUAUAAGCUUGAAUAGCUUAACGGUAAGAACGAACCGAACUCGUCACCGAGGGAUGGUGGUACUUUUUUAUUCUGAAUCAUUUAUUUUUCAAAUUUGUAAAUCAAAUCCAAAAAUAAAUUCCACGAAUAUACAUUAAAUAUAAAUAUAAUGUACAUGGAAAAAGGUUAAAAAAUCUGCACUAAAAUGUUUUAUAGAAAUGUAAAAAAAAUCAAAAUAUAAUUUAUAGUAUGUAACUAAUUGUGCUGUAAAUAAUGUAAUGCCGUUUUAAAAGACAUUACUAUGAGCUUGUAUGUAUGCUAUGUAGGUUCUAGCAAUUAUUUUAUUAAACACUGAGCAACCUCAUAGUAAUGCUUGUAAAUACGGAAGAUAGAGUAUGAGUACGGAGGAUGAGCCAUAGGAUAUUGUAAGCCCUUCUUGUAAUAAAUGUUCGUGACUUGUUAUUUAGUUAGUGUUAUUACACUAAGAGAUGGCCACUUGGAUUGCACGAUGUUUUAAACGAUGAGUGUUAAGUCAGUCAUUGACGGUCACUUAUUCUCACUUUUCUGCAGCACAAGUAAAGAAGGUUCAUAAGUCGAGCCGUCAUGCACGCAGCGACCAAUACACGAUCAGUUAUAGUCGUGGGUGCUGCAGAAACGUGAGAAUAAUUGAUCGUCAAUGGCGUGCAUUAGAGCAGCUUAAUUUUUUUAUCCCUUUUGAAAUAACUAAUAGUAAGGCUAGCGAACGCAGUUACGUUUUAAAAGUAAACAAGACUUGAAAUUUAGGUAAACAUAGUUGUGACUUUAAUAAAUUAAGUAGGUAUACAUUAAUAAUUUUCAUUAGUUUAAUUAAUAAUAACAAAUAAAAUGUCGAUACAGUAUUAGGAUAACGAAAUAGUUUAUAUUAAAUUAACAUAUGUUAGUCCAAGUUGCAAUAUUAUCAAAGAGCGCAGCUAAAGUGAGGUUGUUUUUUUUUUGAAUAAAAUAACGUGAAAUCCAAGUCGCCAGCUCUUAUAGUUUAUACAGCUGAUGCAUAGACGUUUAUGCAUUCUAGUACCAAAAUCUAGUGUUUAGUUUUUUUAAGUUUCCGACUGAACCAAAAUAUUGUAGAUACGAGUAUGUGAAAUAAAAAAAAAGUAUUUGAGAA